rnacentral:rRNA from 1 species
UGGGGAAUUUUGGACAAUGGGCGAAAGCCUGAUCCAGCAAUGCCGCGUGUGUGAAGAAGGCCUUCGGGUUGUAAAGCACUUUUGUCCGGAAAGAAAUCCUUGGCUCUAAUACAGUCGGGGGAUGACGGUACCGGAAGAAUAAGCACCGGCUAACUACGUGCCAGCAGCCGCGGUAAUACGUAGGGUGCAAGCGUUAAUCGGAAUUACUGGGCGUAAAGCGUGCGCAGGCGGUUUGCUAAGACCGAUGUGAAAUCCCCGGGCUCAACCUGGGAACUGCAUUGGUGACUGGCAGGCUAGAGUAUGGCAGAGGGGGGUAGAAUUCCACGUGUAGCAGUGAAAUGCGUAGAGAUGUGGAGGAAUACCGAUGGCGAAGGCAGCCCCCUGGGCCAAUACUGACGCUCAUGCACGAAAGCGUGGGGAGCAAACAGGAUUCAGAUACCCUGGUAGUCCACGCCCUAAACGAUGUCAACUAGUUGUUGGGGAUUCAUUUCCUUAGUAACGUAGCUAACGCGUGAAGUUGACCGCCUGGGGAGUACGGUCGCAAGAUUAAAACUUAAAUGAAUUGACGGGGUCAUAGCUGUUUCCU